UCGAACUGAGGUCUCCUGCAUUGCGGGCAGAUGCUUCACCUUCUAAGCCACCAGGGAAGCCCGAGUCUUGUUGGGGAGCAGAGGUCCCUUAAAGGAAGAGUAAACGCCGGUCAAACGCUGCUGCCAGAUAACGGAAAAUGGAAACCGACCCUGGGCCAACCCUUUACUUGAAUGUAAGCUUACGCUCUACAAGGCCAAGGACUAUACCUUGUUUAUCUUUUUCUUCCCUCAUUGGGUCCAACCUGUGGCCAAGUUCAUGGAGAAUGGACAGAUUUAGAGAGACAGAAGCCUAUCAAGGACCCCUAUAAAUAACUAUGAAGCUGCCGCUCAUGUAGAAUUCCUGAAGCAUGGCUACAAACCCUCUUUUCCUUUUGGGAGAAAGGAGAAGUGUUUGGCAUUGGCAGAUCUUUCUUUUUUUU